UGUACGCUCCACACGCAGUUACAAGGCUUCCCAAGACUUAGCCUACUUACUUCUCGCUACAAUCCAGUACUCCGAUGAAAAACCUUACAGAACCCAAAGGGUCCAAUUCUCAGAAGUCCUAGGGCUCUGACAUCAAAAGAAAUUACAGUACCUGAGAUUUUGUGGCCAGACUGCAAGUGCUGAAAGAGUUAAUAGCAAAUCGCAACAGGGCUAGUGCUGGAGACACUCAGCUUCCCCUGCACCUCAACAGAGCUUCGCGGAAUAUGAC